GGCAUUGGCACAGUCUUUGGACAUGUAAAUCAUGGAGAAGGAAGAGGCUGAUUGUUAUCCAUGAUUAGGCAGUGCAGAUAUAGCUCAAUAUUCCAAAUGGGAUGUUUUGGCCUUGGAGUUAAGUUCCAAGAGCAUUAUAAAAUAAUCACCUGUAUAGGAAGUCCUGACUUAACUCUAUUAACAACUUCGAAAGUCACAUACCUGAAGAUGAUCCUGCAUGUCCAUAGAGC
rnacentral:lncRNA from 1 species